UCCGGCGCUUCUAGGGCUGGUUCCCGUCAUCUUCGGGAGCCGUGGAGGUACGAACUUAAGACAUGCCUAUUUUAUUAAUUUACUUCCAAACGCAACGAAAGGUCCAUGGACAAUUUGUGGGCCAUUUAAUUCAGGGCCCCCAAUUCGUACGUGGAGAAGUGGGAAUGCAAAAGUACUUUGACCUUUAACCUUCGGUCCGGCGCGGUGGAGGGAAACGCCUCCGUCUCUAUAUAAGGAAUUUUCCGGUCUCUUCGGGUCCUUUUUCCUCUCUUCAGCGUGGGGCGCCCACAAUUUGCGCGCUCUCUUUCUGCUGCUCCCCAGCUCUCGGAUACAGCCGACACCAUGGGUUUCGGAGACCUGAAAAGCCCUGCCGGCCUCCAGGUGCUCAACGAUUACCUGGCGGACAAGAGCUACAUCGAGGGGUAUGUGCCAUCACAAGCAGAUGUGGCAGUAUUUGAAGCCGUGUCCAGCCCACCGCCUGCCGACUUGUGUCAUGCCCUACGUUGGUAUAAUCACAUCAAGUCUUACGAAAAGGAAAAGGCCAGAACAGGUAGAACAUGGACAGCAGCAAUUCAACUUUUCCCCACACUGCCCUGCCAAUGUGCCUCGACCUUGACCUGGGGGGCCCACCUCUGGGGUGAGAGGGUGGCUCAUUCAUUCAGUCCUUGGCCAUUCUUCUGAAACUGCCAACAAGGGUGGAAGUUUGGGGAAGUGGACUCCAGUUCACUAAGAAUGGAACUGAGCAUACUUAAUGAAAUCUCAAACAGAAAUGUUCAUACUGAAAGAGUAAAUCAUACCUGCCAGGAGUGAAGAAAGCUUUGGGCAAAUAUGGUCCUGCCGAUGUGGAAGACACUACAGGAAGUGGAGCUACAGAUAGUAAAGAUGAUGAUGACAUUGACCUCUUUGGAUCUGAUGAUGAGGAGGAAAGUGAAGAAGCAAAGAGGCUAAGGGAAGAACGUCUUG
rnacentral:lncRNA from 10 species